UACAGGCUUAAACACAUGCAAGUCGAGGGGAAAACGGGCAUCAAGCGCUUGCGCCUGAUGGACGUCGACCGGCGCACGGGUGAGUAACGCGUAUCCAACCCUGCCCCACACUAAGGGAUAACCCGCAGAAAUGUGGACUAAUACCUUAUAUUUUCCACCAAGGGGCAUCGUCGAUGGAACAAAAGAUUUAUCGGUAUGGGAUGGGGAUGCGUCCGAUUUAGGUUGUUGGCGGGGUAACGGCCCACCCAAGCCCUUCGAUCGGUAGGGGUUCUGAGAGGAAGGUCCCCCACAUAGGAACUGAGACACGGUCCUAACUCCUACGGGAGGCAGCAGUGAGGAAUAUUGGUCAAUGGGCGUGAGCCUGAACCAGCCAAGUAGCGUGCAGGAAGACGGCCCUAUGGGUUGUAAACUGCUUUUAUGCGGGGAUAAAGGAGUCCACGUGUGGAUUUUUGCAGGUACCGCAUGAAUAAGGACCGGCUAAUUCCGUGCCAGCAGCCGCGGUAAU
rnacentral:rRNA from 1 species